UUCCAUAUGAUCGGUGGUUGAAGCACCGACGAACCGACGUGACAGCUAGAACAAACAAAUUAAAAUUUGUUGUCCUCGACGCCAUGAUGAAAAAUAGCCAAACACUACCGCCACCUCUAUAACGGUUCGCGUUGAUUUGAUAGCUUGACCCCAAACCCCCGUGUGUUCAUAUAUAAAAGGUUCGCGUCUGCGCUGAUUUGACAGAAGCGUUCGCUCGCUUCGCUGGUCGACCGUUAAAUUUAGGGGGACACUUUUGAAACACCACUGUCACGUCGGUUCGUCGGUGGUUAAAGGUCUGCGUUUCAACAAUUUGAGCGUGAGCUCUGCAUCUCCUCAGUUGUCUCGGGAAGGAGUUUUUUGUUAGUGAGUUCCUAACGAUUCUGGCACGGUAAAGGCUGGGUAUGCUGCGCAAUUCAGAUCCUAUUGUGAUCCACUAGCCUCUGCCCAGCAACUCCUAUCCCUACCUCCUCACGGUAUCGGCCGGAAACUAUGAGCAACCUUAGGGAAGAUCGGGUAACCAACCCCGGUGGGAACUUUGGUCGUAGGCUGACAGGGAAGGGGGGGGGGGGGGUUGCUUCGGCAAACCUGAGCAUCUGUUCUCCAGGAGGAGCGGCUCACCACAACAGCGUCUGAUCCCCAUGUUAGGGGCGGCUGAUCUACGUCCGAGUGCCAGGGAAGGACUCUAAGCUCAAUUGUGCACUAUGGUCCUCCGGAAAGUAGGUGGUUGGUGUCAGGUCCUACGAGCCAGCCGUAAAAGCCCAUUGUAACGGGAAAUCAGCAACCGAAUAAUACAAACCGAGACCAACGGCAACGACUCCAGCGAACAAAAAGGACUUGCAAUUGGAAACUGGGUACUUGGAACUGCCGAUCUCUCAACUUCAUUGGGAGUACCCACAUACUCGCCGAUCUACUGGAGGACCGCGGGUUCGGCAUCGUAGCGCUGCAGGAGGUGUGUUGGACAGGAUCCAUGGUGCGAACGUUUAGAGGUAACCAUACCAUCUACCAGAGCUGCGGCAACACACGCGAGCUGGGAACAGCUUUCAUCGUGAUAGGUGAUAUGCAGAGGCGCGUGAUCGGUUGGUGGCCGAUCGACGAAAGAAUGUGCAGGUUGAGGAUCAAGGGCCGAUUCUUCAACUUCAGCAUAAUAAACGUGCACAGCUCACACUCCGGAAGCACUGAUGAUGACAAGGACGCAUUUAACGCGCAGCUCGAACGCGAGUACGAUCGCUGCCCAAGCCACGACGUCAAGAUCAUCAUCGGAGAUUUAAACGCUCAGGUAGGCCAGGAGGAGGAAUUCAGACCGACGAUUGGUAAGUUCAGCGCCCACCAGCAAACGAACGAAAACGGUCUACGACUCAUUGAUUGCGCCGCCGCCAAACAUAUGGUUAUACGUAGCACCUUUUUCCAACACAGCCUCCCUUAUCGUUACACCUGGAGAUCACCACACAGACGGAAUCUCAAAUCGACCACGUUCUGAUUGACGGACGGCACUUCUCCGACAUUAUCGACGUCAGGACCUAUCGUGGCGCCAACAUCGACUCCGACCACUAUCUGGUGAUGGUCAAACGAUUCUAUAACAUUCCCCAGAAAACCAUUCCCCAGAAAACCAAUCCCCAGAAUUCCAUUCCCCAGAAUGUACCAUUCCCCAGAAAACCAUUUCCCAGAAACCCAUUCCCCAGAAUGUACCAUUCCCCAGAAUGUACCAUUCCCCAGAAAUCCAUUCCCCAGAAUGUACCAUUCCCCAGAAUUCCAUUCCCCAGAAUGUACCAUUCCCCAGAAAGAAAAUAAAACUAUUGUUUUAUUUCUGAAUGGUUUAUCUUCUUCUUCUUUAUGGUUCUACGUCCGCACUGGGACUUGGCCUGCCUCUCUUCAACUUAGUGUUCUUUGAGCACUUCCACAGUUAUUAAUUGAAGGGCUUUCUUUGCCUGCUAUUGCAUGAAUUUGUAUAUUGUGAGGCAAGUACAAUGAUACUCUAUGCCUAGGGAGUCGAGGAAAUUUUCCCGACCGGAACGGGAAUCGAACCCGCCGUCUCCGGAUUGGCGAUCCAUAGCCUUAACCACUAAGCUAACUGGAGACCCUGAAUGGUUUAUAUUAAUCGCUAAAAAUCAAAUAUUUAAUCGUAACAAAUCACCGAAAGAAACAUCCUGCCAAAAAUUCUUCAAAACUUUGGAAAUAAGCAUGAUUUCCCGGAUAAAAACUAACCAUAGGGUAUUUGGUGAAAACCAUUCUUGUACCAUACAGUGUACCAGCUACAAUAUAGUGUAUUGUAAUGGAAUGGUUCGCUAAAAGCUUUGCACAUUGGUAGCUACUAUACAUUUACAUCCGAUUUUAAUGUAACAAUAUAUUAUACUGUUUUUCUUACGUUUGAACCAUUCAUUUUUCGGAAACAACCUUUUUCCGUGCAUUUUUAAUUAUUUAUUCAGUUUAUGAUUUUUUCCGUGCUUUGUUUUGUUGAUGUUCGUGACAUUUUUGUUGCAAAGGAAAUGAAAGAGAAAAAAGUGAAUAAGUUGAAACAUCUAUUUAAAGUCAAUAAAAUGUUUAAAUAAAGUGGUAAACCAGGUGUCCUAAGGACUGCAUAUCCAAGAGAUAUGGUGGGCUAGGUCAACCCGGAAAGACGCAGGCCAGAUUACCGUAAAUCAGUGGAUGAGUUCAACACUAUUUUUUCUCUUCUUCUCUCAUGUGAAAUUGCCUUGUACAACAACCGAAUUAAAUGCGAUUUAUCUUUGACAUUUUUAACAUAAGGACUGGACUGGACACUGAAACGACUUCUGAAAUAAGUUCGUCUUCGCUUUUUAACCUAACUUAUAGUUGAAUCGAACUUGACAGUUUUCUCAUGAGUUGUUAUGUACACAUUUCAUAGUUCAGUCAAAUUGGAGCCUCAAUAUUGCAAUAAUGGUUAAGCACGCUGUAAUGAUACUUAUGUACCUCGUCACCCACUUCAUGCAACUACAUUAGUGGUCUAAUAACACUUAGCGCGCUAGGCAUAGUUCCAUCAUGCCGCUCAAAGUGUUGCCACAAAUAAUGCUUAGUUUGCAAAACCCGGUUAUCUGGCUGGUGGGACAUGGGAGCUUAAGCUUCAACUGUUAAUGCAAUCAGAGGCUACUCAGACUUAGACGAGUUUAGGUUAGUUUGGCUAGAACUGCCAUUAUCGAAGGAACAUGACGAGAUAAUAUAACAUUAUAUGGUUUAUCUAAUGUAAAACAAUACAACAUAACAAAAGAGAACUAUUCCAAAACCAUGAUUAAAUUUAUAACCAGUAGUGAAAUUACAAUUAAAAACAAUAUAUUUACGGUACAUUUUAUUGUUUGAAACCAUACGUGUACCAUACAAUGUACGGUAUAUUAAAGCCCACGUAUCAGUAUUUCGAACAAUUCAUUUACAAUAAAAUGUAUGGUUUUGUAAAAAAAUAUAUAUGGAGAAAAAUAUUUUUUUAUAUUGUUACGAUACUUAACAACCCGUAUAGUAUAUUGUAAAAAUCUCAUUUACAAUUCACUGUAUGGUGUCUAACAUUACAUCUUAUUGUUUUUGUAUUUUUUAUUUUUACAGUGGUGUUUAUUGUAACAAUAUGGUUCUAAAUAGUACUGUUACAAUACAACAUUCGGUUUUUCUACUGUAUUUUUUAUUCGGGUUGCCUUUACAAUUUAGGUUAUUGGUAUAAUUAUUGGCGUCGCAACUGCUUACUAUUUCAACAUACAUUUUUCCUUCUUUUCUGCAUAGGUUGUUCUUUCGAAUUGCACUUUUCAGUAAAUUAUCGACAUCAAAAUUUCUUACAUUUUCUACGAAGUUUUUCCUUCUUUUCUGCAUAGGCUGUUCUUUCGAGUUACACUAUUCAGGUAAUUAUCGGCACCACAAGCACAGGUAUUUAGAAAUUUGAAAAAAAAUAUUAAAUAAAUAUUUUAGCAAUUUUAACACCGGUGGAGGCUGUAAUGCCCAUAAUUUCCCGAAAAGUGCAAUUCGAAAGAACAGCAUAUGCAAAAAAGAAGGGAGAAUCUAUGUUAAAAAAGUAUAUACGCAGUUGCGAUGCCGAUAAUUUCCUGAAAAGUGCAACUCGAAAGAACAGCCUAUGCAAAAGAAGGGAAAAUUGUUGAUGAACAUAUAAGCAGUUGUAAUGCCAACAAUUCUUAUAACGACUCAAACAUUUUUUUAACGAAGAAGGAAACGUAACACUCUGAUAAUUGCCAUCGUACUUCGAUUUAACGGUUUAUUUGAGGGUUGACCAACUGCCAAUCCGCGGCGCUCGCAUCGUUUUUGUUCGAGUUUGACACUACUGCCACCUAGUUGAUGGUUGGCCAAAUUCAGUCCUUUUAGAAUUAAGCGAAUCUGUUUCCGAGACUAAAAUUUGAAUCGAAAAAUGUUCGAAGUGUUACGUCUGUUUGUCUGUGGUGACAUUGUUUUCCU